UAAACAAAUUAAUUUAUUAGUACAAGUCAUUUAAUAUUGAGGCAGAUCGUGCUAAAUGGAUGCGCGUAAACAUAAUUUAGUUUUAGGUACCAAAUUUUUUGUUAUUUGGAGAAAGGGGUGAGGUAUCAGUUAAAUGUUGAUUGCAAAAAAAUAUUUUAAAUAUGUAAAUUUUGUUAUUAAUGACUCAUCCAUCUUAUUUAAUGUUACGAGUACGUCAUGUAGAUAAAUAUCUACGCCAUAUAUAUUCUACAUAGUGUCACUUUCAAGUUCCCAUUUUAAUCCGCACUACUACGCCAUGGCGGCGCUACUGUGUUAUUUGACGCGACACACACUCUACACGCUGUAUUAUACAAAACGAGUGAACUCGCCGUUUGUUGUGAAAUUACCAAAGGAACACGAAAUGAGGGGAAAGAAAAAACGAAAUGAUAAAACAAAAGAAAAUACAAAAUAAAAACGAGAAAAUCAAAAAGUGCGGAAAGGGUAAAUUCAAAUCUAAUGCAUUAUUUAAUUUGUGCAACAAAACAACAAAAACGUGUCGGCAAAUAAAAAUGCAAAUAUGUACGCAUUUGUUGAUGUAUAACAAAAAAAGAUAAUAUUAUUAUUCCAUUACAUCUUUCGCCAAUUGUUACGGCUUGAAUUUGGCCAACAGUCCUCUAGUUUUAUUUCUUCCCCUUCGCACGGACACAUUCAAAAGAAACCCAAUAUGCCGGCUGCUUCAUACAGUGACGCAUUGUGCGAUAACAACUGACAACAACCACAUGAAAAUUGGACAUGAUCAUUCAUGUGCGCGCUUGCCACACCUGAGUGUGUGUGUGCGCGCGUCUGUGUGGUCACCAAGUUAGGGGAUGGCAUUAGACAAACUCUUAUUUCUUUCAAGAACAAAAACAUAAUUUUUGGCAUGUAUGUAAAUCUAAAAAUGAGAAAUGCGAAAAUUAAACAAAAAAAGUGGUUAAAUGUGGGGCGAUCGCUUAAAAUCGUUAACCAAUCCCAAUCCGAUUUUCAAUGAAAACUAUCAAAUGUAUUAUUAAUUUUAAGUUCCUUAAAAUAUUCACCUUUUUUGCGUUUAUUUAAGUCUGCUAAGUGUGUUAUUUCGGCUCAGAUUUACCCGCAAACCAAAAACACUUCUGCACUCUGCGACGUCUAAAAACCAACUGCUCAGAUACUGUGAUACUAUUGCGGCUCCAGAUAUUGAGAGAGAGAGAGAUCGAGUGAUGGAGCGAGCGAGCGAGCGAGAUGCACAGUACACAUGUGCUACACAAACACCGACACAGCACAGCUGACGGCGCAACAAGUUAGCAGGCCGUCUCGCUCACACCCUCAGCAAGUUCAAUCCCAAGGUGGGAGCGACAGUGCUCUCUUUCUGUUUCUGCGUUGAGCGCAGUGUUCUUCUGCCAAUUACAUAGAUUUUUGACCGGCAUAGGCCGUCGAAAACAAAGUUAACCGUUCGGAUUGCACCAAUACAAUUGCCCCUCGAAUUUCACAAGAUCGAGGAAGGUUCGGGAAUAUAAUAUUGCCAUUUAUGGAAGUGUCUGUCUAAUAAGAACUGCGAUUCCCAAGAGAAAGUGCACUUACCGUUCGACCUUAGACUAUUUACAAGAUCACCAAAGUGAAAAAAUCGUAUUUUUUGUCUAAAAACAACAGUCAAAACAACUAUACUAAAAAAUCUGCAACCAAACAUCAAAAUAACGAAAUGAAUAUUCCUUAAGUUUUAACAGUGCGUAUACGCAAUGCAUUUUUCAGAAAACAAACUCACACACACACAUUCAUAUGUACGCAGAGAAUGAAAGCCGCUCAGUCGAGUUUAAAAGUAUCUGCAUCUGUGAGAUACUACCACUGCCGCUUAGACACUAUAGCUAUCUCUUUCGCUGAGAGAGCGUGAGUGAAGACGCAGCGAGAGGACACACACCCACACAAGCAGGUGUCUGUGUUGGUCGCUAUAUUUUCGCAGAUCUAUUUUAUUGAAUUUCACAAUAAAUAUUGAAUAAGCCUUAGAGGAACAGUUGUAUGAGAAGAAUAGGAUAUUGAAAUUAAAUUAAACAUUCUGCUACCCAUUACUACUUAAAUACUCUGAAAAGUAUUAUCAGCUCGACUAGUAAUCGAGUAAAUACUGAGUAAAUAGAAAUAUUGGACUAGCCGGCUAGAAACACGUGCCGCAAAAAUUUGGGUCAUGAAUCAGCUGCUGCACUCUCUCGAUUCUGACGUCACAACCCGACGAGCCUCUUUGUUUAAUUGUAAAGGAAUACAUUGUUUUUCGGCAAAUUAUCCGAUAUUUCAAUUAUUUGAGUAUAUCAAAAUGCAAUCCUUGCAUUGAAAACCCGACUUAUUGAAGACUAACGAAUUAUCCGAAGUAUGUUUGUACAUAAUUCAAUAAUUGUAAUGCAAUUUUAAUGAAUUUGAGAUACAUAUAAUAGCCUUGAAAAGGUGAUAUUUAUUUGAAUCCAGAAACAAAGUAAAAAAAACGAACUCUCUUUGUGAAAAACGAAAUAGAAAUCGGCCAGCUUAUCGGCGACGAAUAAAAUGCAUUUUGUCAACGGAUAGCAAUUAUUUGUCAUACGUGUAUGUAAAUAAUUGGUGGUAUGAUUUUACCUCUGUUUCUGAUUGGGCAAUUCAAUCUGAUGACCUAUACAUAUUUAAGUACAUCUAAACACCUAUUAGCGAAGUAUUUAUCAGCUGUCUCUUAUACACAUGUC